rnacentral:misc_RNA from 1 species
GAUAAACACAAGCUUUUUGUUAGGUAAGUCUUCUAUCUUCUUCUGGUGUUCUAUUCUAUCUAACAUCUGGUAUGCUGUUAUUGUUUAAACUGGGAACUCACAAUGAUCAAUGGCCCGGGCAGUCCAAAUCAGAAUUAGAAGAAUAGCAUGAUUAACAAAUUCCACUAAUCUGUAAGCUAAUGUCUAAGGUUGUGUUCUUCUAUCGAAUUACUAUUACAGCAGCUAUAUGAUAUUUAUACCAUACACUUGACUUUGCAUUGUGUUGUUUAAAGUUGAUGGUGGAAUAAGCUAAUUUACUAAACAAAUAUUUGCAACUUGUCCAGUAAUUUUGGAUUUUGUUCGUUUUCCAUAGCUUGGCAUCAUAGCCGCUAGUAUCCUAGGGAUUUCUAAAGUCUCUACUUUUUUUUGUCUCACUCUUUCUCUGCCCGAAUUCUGUUCUUUUUCUUGUAAUGCUGUCCUUUCCUCUCCUUUUUCUUUUGCGUUCUUCUUGUAACUCCCUCUGCAACAAUGGAGGAAUCAAUGUACACUGUCCUCGAUGGUUUUGGUAUAAAAAUUGCAAACUCUUGAGAAGUGAUUUGCUAAGGCUUUGAAGAAAACAACAAGAAAUUCCAACACUGAAGAGUGACAAUCAAGAACUGAUGAUCUAUAAGGAUUCUCCAAUUCAAGAUGGCAACAUUCUUCCAACUCUUAAAAUUGUUGAAUUCUUGACUGCACUACCCAAGAGGGUAUCAAUGAAUUAACUCUUGCUUGUAGAAAAUUUGAGAGCAAAAGGAAAGGAAUUAUAGAAAAGGAACACGCAAAUCUUAUAGGAGAUGGUGUGAUUUUGAGUUUGACUGUUAUGGUCUUUAGUUGGGUUCUUCUGUUAUAUACUCCUCACAAAAAAUGAGUGUGAAAAGUGGAGAAGACAAAGGGAAAAAAAUUAAAUUAAUGCAGAAGAGAAUUUGCGCAUGAAGGAUGUUUAUUGGAUUGCUAAGUUGCUGCACAAUUCUUCUUAUCAAAGCUGAAGUUUUGUCACUAGAGGGAGGAUGUAUGUGUUAUGUAGAGAAGGAGAAAAUAUAGAAA